rnacentral:pre_miRNA from 1 species
AAAGUACUCCCUCCGUCCCAAAAUUCUUGUCCUAGAUUUGUCUAGAUACGGAUGUAUCAAGUCACAUUUUAGUAUUAGAUACAUCCGUAUCUAGACAAAUCUAAGACAAGAAAUUUGGGACAGAGGGAGUAGUUG